CAGUCGCCGCGGUAAUACGGAGGGUGCAAGCGUUAAUCGGAAUUACUGGGCGUAAAGCGUGCGUAGGCGGUUCGUUAAGUCUGUUGUGAAAGCCCCGGGCUCAACCUGGGAAUGGCAAUGGAUACUGGCGAGCUAGAGUGUGUCAGAGGAUGGUGGAAUUUCCGGUGUAGCAGUGAAAUGCGUAGAGAUCGGAAGGAACAUCUGUGGCGAAGGCGACUAUCUGGGCCAACACUGACACUGAGGCACGAAAGCGUGGGGAGCAAACAGGAUUAGAUACCCCAGUAGUCCCUGUCUCUUAUAC
rnacentral:rRNA from 1 species